GGAAUCUUGGACAAUGGGCGAAAGCCUGAUCCAGCCAUGCCGCGUGAAUGAUGAAGGCCUUAGGGUUGUAAAAUUCUUUCAGCAGGGAAGAUAAUGACGGUACCUGCAGAAGAAGCCCCGGCUAACUCCGUGCCAGCAGCCGCGGUAAUACGGAGGGGGCUAGCGUUGUUCGGAAUUACUGGGCGUAAAGCGCUCGUAGGCGGAUUGGUCAGUCAGAGGUGAAAUCCCGGAGCUCAACUCCGGAACUGCCUUUGAUACUGCCAGUCUUGAGUUCGGGAGAGGUGAGCGGAAUACCGAGUGUAGAGGUGAAAUUCGUAGAUAUUCGGUGGAACACCAGAGGCGAAGGCGGCUCACUGGACCGAUACUGACGCUGAGGAGCGAAAGCGUGGGGAGCAAACAGGAUUAGAUACCCCGGUAGUCC
rnacentral:rRNA from 1 species